CAUCUGUCAUGCAGCUUCAGACCACACCCAUCAUGCUUAGACUCGUAGAGGGGAAGUCACCAUUUGGAAAACACCAAAAACCAAGACAGACUGAGGCUUGAAAAAUGGAAACCUGAACAAGGCAAAUGGGCUCACAGCAAGGACCCACUGAAUUGAUGCAGAUCGGUUCAUUAGCUACCCACCUUGAAAGAGCCAUAGACCCUAACGUGCCAGUUACAACCAGGCACAAUUCCGAAGAUUACCAAAAAUGGGAAAAUUCCGUAUGUUCCCAUACUCCCUCACUCUGCCCUGUAACUGUGGCCCCUCACCACUGCCUCAUCACCUACAUGCUUUCUUUUGCUGUCCUGCCUACCGCUCCCUUGUGGAAUAUAUUCAAUAAACUUCUAUCUUUUUU